rnacentral:rRNA from 1 species
AGUGAACGCUGGCGGUAGGCCUAACACAUGCAAGUCGAACGGCAGCACAGUAAGAGCUUGCUCUUACGGGUGGCGGGUGGCGGACGGGUGAGGAAUACAUCGGAAUCUACUUUUUCGUGGGGGAUAACGUAGGGAAACUUACGCUAAUACCGCAUACGACCUACGGGUGAAAGCAGGGGAUCUUCGGACCUUGCGCGACUGAAUGAGCCGAUGUCGGAUUAGCUAGUUGGCGGGGUAAAGGCCCACCAAGGCGACGAUCCGUAGCUGGUCUGAGAGGAUGAUCAGCCACACUGGAACUGAGACACGGUCCAGACUCCUACGGGAGGCAGCAGUGGGGAAUAUUGGACAAUGGGCGCAAGCCUGAUCCAGCCAUACCGCGUGGGUGAAGAAGGCCUUCGGGUUGUAAAGCCCUUUUGUUGGGAAAGAAAAGCAGCAGGUUAAUACCCCGCUGUUCUGACGGUACCCAAAGAAUAAGCACCGGCUAACUUCGUG